CGUCCUACGGGGGGCAGCAGUGAGGAAUAUUGGUCAAUGGGCGCGAGCCUGAACCAGCCAAGUCGCGUGAGGGAAGACGGUCCUAUGGAUUGUAAACCUCUUUUGUCGGGGAGCAAAAGACGCCACGCGUGGCGUUCCGAGAGUACCCGAAGAAAAAGCAUCGGCUAACUCCGUGCCAGCAGCCGCGGUAAUACGGAGGAUGCGAGCGUUAUCCGGAUUUAUUGGGUUUAAAGGGUGCGCAGGCGGAGGUGCAAGUCAGCGGUCAACUUGCGGGGCUCAACCCCGUCCUGCCGUUGAAACUGCAU
rnacentral:rRNA from 1 species